rnacentral:rRNA from 1 species
UUGCGGUUAAAAGCUCGUAGUUGGAUCUUGGAAUGUGUUCAAGCGGGUCAGCUUCUGGCUGUGCGCUGCUUGACGUGUUCUUCUAUUUGGUUUUGGUGCGGUGCGCUUAACUGCGUGUCGCUCCCGGCCGAAACGUUUACCUUGAAAAAAUUAGAGUGUUCAAAGCAGACCUGUUUGAGUCUGAAUAUUCGUGCAUGGAAUAAUGAAAUAUGAAUUCGGUUCUAUUUUGUUGGUUUUCGGAACUCGAGUUAAUGAUCAAGAGGGACAGACGGGGGCAUUCGUACUCUGCCGUUAGAGGUGAAAUUCUUGGAUCGGCGGAAGACGCGCAACUGCGAAAGCAUUUGCCAAGAAUGUUUUCUUUAAUCAAGAACGAUAGUCGGAGGUUCGAAGACGAUCAGAUACCGUCCUAGUUUCGACUGUAAACUAUGCCAGCUAACGAUCAGACAGAGUUCUCUACGACUUGUCUGGCAGUUUCCGGGAAACCAAAGCGUUUGGGUUCCGGGGGAAGUAUGGUUGCAAAGCUGAAACUUAAAGGAAUUGACGGAAGGGCACCACCAGGAGUGGAGCCUGCGGCUUAAUUUGACUC